rnacentral:misc_RNA from 1 species
GAUGAAGAACGUAGUGAAAUGCGAUAAGUAAUGUGAAUUGCAGAAUUCAGUGAAUCAUCGAAUCUUUGAACGCACCUUGCGCUCCUUGGUAUUCCGAGGAGCAUGCCUGUUUGAGUGUCAUGAAAUUCUCAACCUUUCUGGCUUUUGCUAGUCAGGCUUGGAUUAUGGGAGCUGCUGGCUUUUGAAGUCGGCUCUUCUAAAAUGUAUUAGCAAGAUCAUUGCUGCUCAUCAUUGGUAUGAUAAUUAUCUAUAUCAUUGAGAGUCAGUUUCCUUUAUUGGAAGAUUUUGCUCCUAACGGUCUUUAGCAAGACAACAUUUGACGAUUUUGACCUCAAAUCAGGUAGGACUACCCGCUGAACUUAAGCAUAUCAAUAAGCGGAGGA